UGGCGGACGGGUGAGUAACGCGUGGGUAACCUGCCUCAUACAGGGGGAUAACAGUUAGAAAUGACUGCUAAUACCGCAUAAGACCACAGUACCGCAUGGUACAGGGGUAAAAACUCCGGUGGUAUGAGAUGGACCCGCGUCUGAUUAGGUAGUUGGUGGGGUAACGGCCUGCCAAGCCGACGAUCAGUAGCCGACCUGAGAGGGUGACCGGCCACAUUGGGACUGAGACACGGCCCAA
rnacentral:rRNA from 1 species